CUUUACACAUGCAAGUCGAACGGUAACGCGGUGAGAAGCCUGCUUCUCACCGGCGACGAGUGGCGAACGGGUGAGUAAUACAUCGGAACGUGUCCGCUCGUGGGGGACAACCAGCCGAAAGGUUGGCUAAUACCGCAUGAGUUCUACGGAAGAAAGAGGGGGGCCCGCAAGGGCCUCUCGCGAGCGGAGCGGCCGAUGACUGAUUAGCCGGUUGGUGAGGUAACGGCUCACCAAAGCAACGAUCAGUAGCUGGUCUGAGAGGACGACCAGCCACACUGGGACUGAGACACGGCCCAGACUCCUACGGGAGGCAGCAGUGGGGAAUUUUGGACAAUGGGCGCAAGCCUGAUCCAGCUAUUCCGCGUGUGGGAUGAAGGCCCUCGGGUUGUAAACCACUUUUGUAGAGAACGAAAAGACACCUUCGAAUAAAGGGUGUUGCUGACGGUACUCUAAGAAUAAGCACCGGCUAACUACGUGCCAGCAGCCGCGGUAAUACGUAGGGUGCGAGCGUUAAUCGGAAUUACUGGGCGUAAAGGGUGCGCAGGCGGUUGAGUAAGACAGAUGUGAAAUCCCCGAGCUUAACUCGGGAAUGGCAUAUGUGACUGCUCGACUAGAGUGUGUCAGAGGGAGGUGGAAUUCCACGUGUAGCAGUGAAAUGCGUAGAUAUGUGGAAGAACACCGAUGGCGAAGGCAGCCUCCCUGGGACAUAACUGACGCUCAGGCACGAAAGCGUGGGGAGCAAACAGGAUUAGAUACCCUGGUAGUCCACGCCCUAAACGAUGUUAACUAGUUGUUGGGAAGUAAAAUUCUCAGUAACGCAGCCAACGCGAGAAGUUAACCGCCUGGGAAGUACGGUCGCAAGACUAAAACUCAAAGGAAUUGACGGGGACCCGCACAAGCGGUGGAUGAUGUGGAUUAAUUCGAUGCAACGCGAAAAACCUUACCUACCCUUGACAUGUCAGGAAGCUCUUGUAAUGAGAGUGUGCCCGCAAGGGAGCCUGAACACAGGUGCUGCAUGGCUGUCGUCAGCUCGUGUCGUGAGACGUUGGGUUAAGUCCCGCAACGAGCGCAACCCUUGUCACUAGUUGCUACGAAAGGGCACUCUAGUGAGACUGCCGGUGACAAACCGGAGGAAGGUGGGGAUGACGUCAAGUCCUCAUGGCCCUUAUGGGUAGGGCUUCACACGUCAUACAAUGGUCGGAACAGAGGGCAGCGAAGUCGUGAGACGGAGCCAAUCCCAGAAAACCGAUCGUAGUCCGGAUUGCAGUCUGCAACUCGACUGCAUGAAGUCGGAAUCGCUAGUAAUCGCGGAUCAGCAUGCCGCGGUGAAUACGUUCCCGGGUCUUGUACACACCGCCCGUCAAACAAUGGGAGUGGUGUUUACCAGAAGUCGUUAGCCUAACCGCAAGGAGGGCGGCGACCACGGUGAGCACCGUGACU
rnacentral:rRNA from 1 species